rnacentral:ncRNA from 1 species
ACAGUGCAUGAAGAGAGGGAAACCUCAGCAACCUAGAAAGCAAACAAAGGUGCUUCAAAUGCGGUUUUUUAUAGACAAAAAAAUAUGCUAUU